UACGAAGGGGGCGAGCGUUGUUCGGAUUUACUGGGCGUAAAGGGCGCGCAGGCGGCGCAUUUUGUCAGGCGUGAAAGCCCCGGGCUUAACCUGGGAACUGCGUUUGAUACGGAUGGGCUAGAGUUCGGGAGAGGAGAGUGGAAUUCCUGGGUGUAGCGGUGAAAUGCGCAGACGUAUCAGGAAGAACACCCGUGGCUAAGGCGGCUCUCUAGUACGGUACUGACGCUGAGACGCGAAAGCGUGGGGAGCGAACAGG
rnacentral:rRNA from 1 species